AUAGCCGUGUUGGAGGCAGCCACGUUUGGUCUGGAGGGUCAUGCAGAGGCCUGCUCAACAAAGGAUGCUGAGAUCAACACAGACCCCUUGCUGGACUACCCCUCUCUAGCUGGACAGCUUCUCUUCAGCCCUGACCCCAGGACAGUUUCAUCCAGCUGGCCUGCCCUGCCUGC